UACGAUAAUGACUAAUCGUAGUAAAGCAUUAGAUAGGUGAUACAAUGUACGGUUGGUCAGUGUUUGAAGUAACGGCCUGGGAGAUGGAUGUAAGGGGUAUGAGCAAAUCUCUGAACAAUGUCAAACUUGUUGCUUAGUGCGAAUAGUAUUGCUUAAAAACAACAACAUCAACAAUUAUUUAAAGAGUACGUAUGUAUAUCGAACGAAAGAGUCGGUAUAGCUACUGUGCUGCUGGCAGGCAUAUCAAAAAUAGUUCGAUGAUAAGGGGACAAAUAAUAAAAUGAUGUGUAGGGGGGCAGAUACUUACAUGCAGAAUUUGACUAUCAUAAAUGUUUUUAGCUACACUACAGCUGGCCUUGACAUUCGAAACAUAUCGAUAUAGUAUGUUAUUUUUUUAAUUUAAUGUUUGCUUAUGCUUACACAACAAGAAACAAACAUUUUCAAGGUUGGAAAGAAAGGGGCGAGGCAUACCAAUUUGUUGCGGUAGACCAUAAAUUACAUUAUUUAGUACACAAAACAGAAUGCAUGAUAAAAAAUUUGACUAAAACAGAAUUAAAAAAAAGAUUAUACAAUUCUUUAUGAACCGACUAAGAUUAUUAUUCAAGAAAAAACAAGUAAAACUCCGUAAAAUUUGGCCUGGUCAAAAUUUGUUUAGCAAAUAAAAGCGAGUUUAAUUCAU
rnacentral:sRNA from 1 species